AACGGCCAUAUCAAGUUGAAACCCCAGUUCUCGUACGGUCACCGAAGUUAAGCAAGGUCUAGUAUGGUCAGUACCUGGAUUAGUGACCGCAUGGGAAUACCAGGUGCUGUAAG